GGGGGUGUUCUGGAUUCGACCUCUGGUUGGAUCGUCUCGCUGCCGGUCGAGUAUGAAGGUCGCUCGUUAAAACCCCUUCGACACAAAAUAAAUGGCACCUACGAAGAAAUGCCCCUCGCUGCUUAAAUAACGCAGUGACGAUCGCCCAGUGACACCUGAUAGCUGACGCGAUCGCCGACUUCAGGCAUAACGCAUUCUGCGACCCGCGGAGUUUGCGUCGUAUCUUCGACCCGGGGGUUGGCGAGCGUUUGGCUGGGUUCGAUGCCUGACGUGAGCGAGAUUAAUUUGAACCUAUACCGGUAGAUGCGGGCCGUGAAGGUCACAGGGACGCGGGUUCAAUUCCCGCCACCUCCACCA
rnacentral:tmRNA from 1 species